GAAAUCAAACACCGCAUCAGAGAAUAAAUACUUUACAUCAGAGUUGUCAGAUUUUUUGUUCACCGAUAUUGCAUUUUACAGAGCAACAUUAAAUAUAUUCAUUUGGUACUGGCAACCCUUGCUUUGAAGCGACGAGACAAACAUUUGUCAACAACGACAUCGACAGCAAAAAAUUGUUUUGAUCUCGAUCUCAGUAGAAUUUACGUAUUGUAAAUUCACUGAAACUGCUGGUAAAGUAAUGAAUCUGCAAGAUAAUAAUUGUAAGCAGCAAGAAGCUCUAGAAGAGACCCCUGAAGCACACAUCGAUGUAGAAUAUUUAAUCGAAGAAGACCCACCGAAUAAUUGUGACCAAGAAGAGGAUCCUUUUGCUGUAAAUGAAAUUCCCGAACAGGUUCCAGAUUACCCGAAAGCGUCGAAUCUGAGCAAAUAUAUUGAGGGAUUUAUUACCGAUGAUUCUACAUGGGAUACAGCCGGUUUACCCGAAGAAAGCGAUGAAGAAGCAGAGGUAAAACGGUUCUGUUUCCAGGCCAAUUAUUUUGUGAAAAAGUACACCAGGCACAAGAACGGCGUGUGCAUAAACGAGAAAACAAACGUUCCAGAGCAGAUAUCUGGCAACAGUCUGGCGGAGGUGCUCGAAUGUAUAUGGAAUGUUGUCGAACCACAUUUAUGUCGGGAAAUCGACGUAAAUAAAGUUGAUGGAAUUAAGGUUUCGUGGGCUGCGAAAGAAAAACCGGAUAUUCGCGACAUUCACAAUUCCGUUCAUCUACGGGAUGCAAAACGAAAAACCAUGAUUCGAUUGAACCAGUUGGGAGAGGGGAAAAUUAUGCUACAUUGUGAAGGUGAUGAAUGUGUAUGCCUUUGCCUAUUCGCAAUCCAUUAGUUCUGUUGCUAUCUGGGAGGAAGUCAACAAAAGACUUCUACAACCCAGUGAAACGGACUGGGCUGGAGCACCCUGCAACGUAAACCUUGAUGAGCUGAUUCAGGAAUUAAAAGAGAAGAAUCCCCAUUUGAGAAGCCACGACUCGGGCUGGAUUCAGUGGGCCAACUGGAUUCAUGCAUCCCCAGCUCAUCUUCAGGCUGGUUUAGUGACACAGUUGCUCCCAGCUGAACUUAGGGGAAUGUUUUCUUUUUUUCCGUCCUCUGAAGAAAGCCGACCAGAAUCUGUAAAACUGCUUGCACAAGGCUUAAACGAAAAACUGAACAUGUGUCGAGACAUGUUGAAAGGCAUGCAGACCUGUAUGGCGCCACGAGAGUCAUCAGUUAGUCAAAGAGUAGCAGCAGAAGUUGGUGACGUAAUGGAUGUUGAUCACGCUUAAUCGUGAUAAAGUUUGACAGAACAUAUCUUUAAUUAUAAAAUCUGUAUUUUA